UACCAGCACCCCGAGUGGUCGGGACGUUUUAUUGGGCCUAAAGCAUCCGUAGCCGGUUUUACAAGUCCUCCGUUAAAUCCAGCUGUUUAACAGAUGGGCUGCGGAGGAUACUAUAAGACUAGGAGGCAGGAGAGGCAAGCGGUACUCAGUGGGUAGGGGUAAAAUCCGUUGAUCCAUUGAAGACCACCAGUGGCGAAGGCGGCUUGCCAGAAUGCGCUCGACGGUGAGGGAUGAAGCUGGGGAGCAAACCGG
rnacentral:rRNA from 1 species